AACGAACGCUGGCGGCAUGCCUAACACAUGCAAGUCGAACGAGAUCUUCGGGUCUAGUGGCGCACGGGUGCGUAACGCGUGGGAAUCUGCCCUUUGGUUCGGAAUAACAGUUGGAAACGACUGCUAAUACCGGAUGAUGACGAAAGUCCAAAGAUUUAUCGCCAGAGGAUGAGCCCGCGUAGGAUUAGCUAGUUGGUGUGGUAAAGGCGCACCAAGGCGACGAUCCUUAGCUGGUCUGAGAGGAUGAUCAGCCACACUGGGACUGAGACACGGCCCAGACUCCUACGGGAGGCAGCAGUGGGGAAUAUUGGACAAUGGGCGAAAGCCUGAUCCAGCAAUGCCGCGUGAGUGAUGAAGGCCUUAGGGUUGUAAAGCUCUUUUACCCGGGAUGAUAAUGACAGUACCGGGAGAAUAAGCAUCGGCUAACUCCGUGCCAGCCGCCGCGGUAA
rnacentral:rRNA from 1 species